rnacentral:tRNA from 1 species
GUUAUAGCUCAGUUGGUUAGAGUGCCAGGUUGUGGCCCUGGAGGUCGAGGGUUCGAAUCCCUCUAA